UAAUAAGUAACGAUUUCAGAUGUUGAGAACUUGACAGGAAUAUAACUGAACCAUGGCAAUCAUGCAUGAUUUAGAAGAAGAAGAAUCUGAUGCUGAAAAUAUAUCCUCUGUAGAUACUUUUGUUAAAAAUAUGUCCUUGACAUAUAUUUUUAACUCAAGUGCAUGCACUUUGCAAGAUGAUGGAUCAGUUCCAUGGUUUAUCGAUCAAAAGGACAUUAUAAACAAUUGUAUUCCGAUGUUCAUGCAAAACACUUGGCUUGAGCCAAUUUUCCUAACCAACAUAUUCUGUAUCAUAGCAAUAGGAGGGAUGGGAAAUCUGUUGCUCAUUUUAUCUGUGAUCUAUGUAUUUUUUAGAUACCCUGCCACCAGAUGUAAAUAUCCUUGGUUAAAGAACCCUUUAACUAUUCUUAUCCUUCAUCUCUCCUUCUGUGAUUUCCUCUACUGUAUCUUCGGUCUACCAUUUCUCACGCUACCUACCAUAUACGGCUACUUCCCCCUCUCAGAAAGUGUGUGUCAUAACACAGCUCUUUUCAGAAAUUUGAACGCAUUUGCUGAAUUCUCAACCAUUGCAGUAAUUGGAUUACUCAGGUUAAAAGGAUUGGUAACAGAACAGCUGACAUCCUCUCCCCGAAGAGAUAGCUUAAUGACCCCCUGUAAAAUGGUUUUAUUCUGCUGUUUAACAUGGUUAUUAUCCUUCAUCAACAUCUCCCCCACCUUAUUUGAAGUGAAUGAUCCAAACUUAGAUUUCGGAAAGUUUGGAUACAAUGAUGUUGGAAUCUGUAAUGUUGCUCCUGGCACUUCCACAAAACGUUCUAUGGCAGGAUUUGCUUUCUCUGUUGGAUUCCUAGUUCCCUGUCUUUUAAUAAAUAUCUCCUAUAUAACCCUCUUCUGUCUCCUUAAACAUAGAUCAAGUCAAACUACAAACAUUCUAGACAGGCAGAGAAGAGUUAUGGAUAAAGUCUCCAAGAUGUUAUUAAUUAUAUGUAUCAGCUAUCUUCUAUUCUGUGGACAACUUGCACCAAUAGAGAUAUGAAUGGAUGUUCCAGAAAAUUCUUCCGUGUCUUCAGUUAAUUAAUUUUCCUCAACAUGUUCAUAACUGCAAAGGUAACUCUUGAGUACGUUGGGGGUAACAUUGGAAUGGGCAGAUAGCAUUAUGAAGGGACCUGAUAUGAAAAACACCAAAGCUGCUGUAACCCUACUCUCUUACUCUUG